rnacentral:sRNA from 1 species
UCACCAACCCAGCCUUGAAAAAACAUCCAGAUUCCAGACACAGUUGCUGUCACCGACCCACACAAAUAUCAGUUGCUCAGUUCCAGAUCAUAACAGAAGUGUACCAAAAUAUAUGAGAAAAGGACUCUCAUAAGAUGAUGCCACAUAUACCUGGCAACUCCGAAAUAAAGCAUCAGGAAUAGUUAAUCAAGCUUAACAUUCAUACUCUACAACAAUCCUGAACAAAAAAACAAAAAAAAAAAAACUACCCAUCUCAAAAUAACACAGCUGGUAUUGGCAGCCACAAAGCCCCAUAUACAGGAAAAUAGGGUCUCCAGCAUCACCCAAGUCAGCACCAUCAUCAGGGUUGCAUCUGAAGUUUCCUGAGCUAUAUCAGCAACAUGAGAAUAGUUACCACAAGACUGUAAAAUUGUGGAUCAUCUAACCGCUGCAUUUGUGCCAGAAGGUUGUGAACUAAACUUCUGGGCAAUAGCAUUAAUGCAAGACCUGUUCCUAAGUUACUCUCCAUUGACAAAGCUUUUACUGUCGUAGUACUUCUUCUCACUGGCUUCUUUCUUCUCGUUCCGUUUCUGGUAGGCUUCAUGGUUAGCAACUAUCCUCCUUAUGAUAGUACUAGUAGUGAUGUCUAAAGGGCUCUCCAGUCUACGGUAGAUGCCCAUAGCCCUUGGAACAGCAUAUGGAUUUAAAUCAUCCUUCAUAAAGUCCAUAUUCUCAGCAAUUGUCCCAUGAACAACCAACGAAAUAUUAAAUGUGGUAAUCAUAUCUUUCGAAACAUCCCAUGGAGCACCAAUGAUCACUUCAUCAACAUAACGGCAAGCCAAAACACUCAAACUUCUCUCAUGGAGGUUCAUGAUUGGGCGAUGUGGUCCUCUUGUUGAACUUAUAGUCUGGUCUGUGUGAAUACCCACAAGCAGGAAAUCUCCAAGCUCUCGAGCGAGGCGCAAUAUCUCAACAUGUCCAGCAUGGAAUAGAUCAAAUGCACCAUCUAUGUACACUAUCCGAGAAUCUGGACCUGGACCCCUGCUAUUUGAGAACUGAACUAUUCUCCGAGAUGUAGGAAGAAAAUGAGAUAUCCUAGUUCCACUUCCAGAUCCACUAUCAUCAAUUUUCUGGCCAUGCCCGUGACUGAACUGCCUUUGUAGUGAAGAGUGGUUGUGACUAUCAGAAGCUGAUCUCUCUCUAACACAAAGAAGCAUUCUUCCUGUAGUUUAUUUACUAGAAAGAUGAGCUGGGCAGUUAGCAUGAAAAUAAAACCUAUUCAUGACCAUAAGCAAUUUAUUGAUACAGAAGGGAAUUAUGUAGUUAAUUGUCUGGAGAGCUUAAUAGCUUAUCAGUUCAUCAUAUAAUAAUAAAGCAAUAGUUUGAAUGUUUUCCUAAAGUACCACUUCAGGACAAAUCAGGUGGGCACUGAUCUUGUCUACAAACAAUUAUUUGGUUGACCUAGAAAUAAUUGUAAUGUUGGAAAUUGCUAUGGUAUUGAGCCAAAGAAAUAACUUGUAAAGUUGUAGUACAUAACAAGAACCAUAUAUUCCCUUGCGAUGGAAGUUUUAGGUUAAAUUUCACUAUGAGUAAAAACUUUAAUGAUUAAAACAGAAAAGAACAGAAUCAGUACCAACAAUGUCUGUCGUUGACACUCCUUCGGUUCUUUUAAUCUGUUUAAAUCGACCAACCUUUUUGGCAAGAGCAUAUGCAUCAGUACCAUCUGGGAGCAGACAAGGAUCAUCGCCAUGGAUGAUAUAAUCUAUAUUAUACUCAUUGAAUAAUUUAUUCAUGAAAUCCUCAGUUAUGGCGUAAGGUGCAUCUGGAAUAACAUCGUGUACCCAUUUUACAGCACGGACCAUUAUCAACCUCUCGUGGAGGGGCGUGACCGGCGGGCCCUUGUUGGCGGUGAUCUCGUGGUCGCUGACAACGCCGACGAUGAGCUCGUCCCCGAGGGCGCGCGCCUGGCGCAGCGCGUUGCAGUGGCCGUAGUGCAUCAUGUCGAAGCAGCCAUCCAUGUAGACGCGCACGGGGCGCCGUCGUCCGCGGCGGAACCGGCGGCGGAGCGCGUCGACGGGCGGCAGGGCGGGAAUGGCGACGGGGCCGGCGAGGUGGAGCGCGACCACGGAUGCCCCCAGCACGAUCCCGCCGAUGACGCACGCCGCCACCAGCUUGGCGCUGCUGCUCCCCGCCCCCGCCUCCAUAAUGAAUUGGGAGAUUGGACAGUGCGAGAGAGACACAACAGGAAGGAAGAGGGAGAUUGGUCGUGCGCGAGAGGGCGUGGGAGGAGGGAUCUAGGGUUAGGGAUUGGGGCGCGUGGGUGGAGGAGGUAUCGCCAUUCGAGGUGAGGGGAGGGCGCGACGCGAGGAGAUCAGGGUGGGAGAU